ensembl:lncRNA
AUCCCCUAGAGAAAGGAAUGGCAACAUUCCAGUAUUCUUGCCUGGAAAAUUCCAGAGGAGCCUGGUGGGCUACACUCCAUGGGAUUGCAAAGAGAGAAAUGCAAAUCAAGACUACAAUGAGGUCUUCCUCCAUCAGUAUCAGCCAGUCGAGGUUGGGGAUGGAAACAGGAGACCUCGCUAAGUCUGAGCCCUGUGGGAAAAAGGGAUCCUGAAAACAGCAAAUUAGCUCACAGCUAUACCUGUUUACACAGUCAAAUUUUCUGGCCAGGUGAAAUGUGGGAUCUUUGACUCCAUGACCAAGGACUGAACCUACACCUCCUGUGUUGAAAGGCGACAUUUUAACCAUCGAACCAGAAGGGAAGUCCCGCAAGUUUCAUAUAUAUAUAUUUCAAUGGAUAGACACAAGGCCUCUCUUUCUAGAAAUGACUUCUCUCCAGAAAUAUGAGAUUAUCUUUACCUCUUACUUUCCUAUCAUAGAUGUCUGAAGGUCGUGGAGUAGAGAUUACUGGACUUGAGUCAAAAAACUGAG